CUGUGUACGUGCAUCUACGAGUGCAUGUCGGAAUGACUUUACGACGUUACAAAAGAAAAAGCAAUAUCAUCUUGAUAUCGAAAAAUACGAACUGACAUUUAAAUUUGUGGAGCAGUUGCAAUUUUACUUAACUAUUCUAGUAUUUUUAUUUGUUUGGUCAUAUUAAGUUUACAGUUGUGUCACUCCAAUGAUUAUUUAUAUUUUUAAUUUGCAUUAGAACAUUGUAACAAAAUAGCUACAAUAUGCUCGCGUGUUCAGUACUACGUGGCUUCUGGGCCUUCGAAGCGUCAUAACAUCGCUCAUUCUAGGCAAACAUUGAAUGCUGAUAUUGUCUCCGCCGAUGUAACUUUCUUCGUAUUGAGGAACACGUCGUUUAUUUCUUCACCUUCAGUAGAGUUAUCAUCAACAGAACAGUGAACGUCAUGGACUCCAAACUAGCUGUAAAUGUAACUCUGAAAGAGGGAUGUCAUCUCCAUUAUCCCAUUCGGUUGUUAUGUCAAAUAAUUUUUGAAAAGAUGAUGGAAUUAAAGACACAUUAUUUUCCUCGUCAAACGACGUCACCUAAAAGGCUUGUUUUGUAAUUAAUUUUCGUAAGCCUUAUGACAUUCAGGUCCAUGGGCUGUGUAACAGCAGUACAAUUCGGAGGAGGACACAUUACCAACAUUUGAACAUCAGUAACUAACUCUAACUCUCUUUCUUUAGGGUGACAGGGACAUUAUCUAUGUAUAAGUAAAAUAGACUUUUGGGGAAAAUUUUCGCCACAGAGAAACUCUUUUACCUGCAGUUCUAAGAUAUUUUAAAUUGAUGAAGCAAAAUAUCUACACACCUCUGAAACAAAUGUUUUGUGAAAUAAUUCUUCAAAUAAAGCCAAGGUCAUCCAAGCAGUUUAA
rnacentral:lncRNA from 1 species